GCUUAGGGUUUACACAUUUUAAUUCAUUUAUCAUUUUCCUCUCAAGAACCCUAAGGAAGCCACCAUUGGAGAAAAGCUUGACUAGUAGCUUUGACUUCAUUUUUGGUGCCCUUUCACUCACCUUAGAACUUUGAACUUGGAAUACUUUAGGCUCCUCCCACUCUCCUCUUCAAAACCCUUGAAGGAUCUAGCCUAACUCCUAGUUUUGCUUUGGUAUCUAGAGAUUCAAUUCUCUAGUGAGUUGAAGGUAGCAAGCUGAAAAAUCUGUUUUACGGACCGAAAAUUUGGGGCGAUUUCAUUUCGGUGGUAAUUGGGAUUUUCAUUCCAAUUGAGGGAUCAAAAGAGUAAGGCUGAAGUCAAGUGUUAUUGGAUGAGGGAGUCGCAGAGCCGAAGAGGUUCAAUAAAUGGUUCUUGGUAGAAUGGAUUAGGUGUGAGCCUAAGUCAAAGCCCAUUGUACUUUGCUUCACCUAUAAUGGAUCGUUUCGCUCAGGAUUACGAAAAUCCUCGAGGUUUUUCCAAGAUGGUGAUUAUUGGUUACAGCCUUGAGGUUAUUCGUGCUAAUCAAAGAGCAUUCAUCUUCACUCUUCUGAAGUCAUUGAUGUAGGAUAUUAGCUUUGUUUAGUUAAUUAGUAUACUUGAUAUCUUUAUAUUUCAGUUAUGACUUUUUAUUAGGGGUCCUUGAUUUAUGAAUUCUUGAAUUGUAUACUUUUGGAGAUUAAGUUUGGUUAAGGAGACGUAACUUACGGAAAUUUUAUUAUUUAAGUAAUGAUUAACUUUAUUUUAGUUUUCUCUUUUCAGCGUUAUUAUUUAUUUUAUUAUAUUCCUCUUGUAUUCUGUAUUUGUUUAUUAUCAAUUGUUUUUUAUAUCCACCGGUCUUCGGGUG